rnacentral:rRNA from 1 species
GACGAACGCUGGCGGCGUGCUUAACACAUGCAAGUCGAGCGGUAAGGCCCUUUCGGGGGUACGACGAGCGGCGAACGGGUGAGUAACACGUGGGUGACCUGCCCUCAGCUCUGGGAUAAGCCUGGGAAACCGGGUACUAAUACUGGAUAUGACUCCAUGACGCAUGUUGUGGGGUGGAAAGCCUUGUGCGGCUGAGGAUGGGCCCGCGGCCUAUCAGCUUGUUGGGU